GCAGCACCAAACCAAGCCAAACACUUUUCCUCACCUGGGGCUUUAUGUUGUCGAAGAAGGAGGGCGAAAAAAAAUCAGCCACUACCGUCGGCCAAGAAGAAUAGCAAGUGACGAUGUCCAUAGCCCAAGCCCACCGGACUGUACAUCGGCGGCGACACUACAACCAUCGCCUCGUCGGCACCACCAAUCGUCAACCCUGUGUCAGUUGAAUUGGUUGGUGCGAAGAACCAAGGCGAGAGAGCACGGACUAUGCGUCCUCCAGAAACGACAUUGUCAUGCAAUUGUGGGAUGAUAUCAUGCACAUUCAACAAUCCUUACGCCUCCUUAAGACCAUUGUCUCUGUGCUAUGCAUUGUUGUUGUCAUUUUGUUGUUGCGUAUGUAAGGAACAUUAGGAUGUUGUUAGUAUGUUCGGAAUGUUAGGAGGUUGGUAGUAUGUUUUAGUAUGGCUAUAAGCUUGCUUUGCGUUCCUCCACUAUGAAAAGGUAGACGUAUUAAUGACUAUCAUAACUAUGUCCACCACUCAGUUGCAUGUUUGUUUAUGUAUUUUAUUAAUGUGCAAUGGUUGUAUGCUGUCAAGUUUAGUAUCCAAUUUCUUUGUUUAUUGUUCAUGGGCAUAGAUUGUGCAUCGUGCAACCAAUUUAAAUUAUUCUGCUAUGGGUUUAUACAUUUGUAUGUAACAACCAAAUAUGUGAUGGUGAUUUUUUGUAACCGUACAUUAGUAAUGGCUUCCAUACGUACGUCUCCGCGUACCCAAUCCAAAAGCAAAGGCAUUGUGACGGAGAAGUCAAGCAGUCUUGAAGAGACACAGAAUCAGUUCAGCCACAAGGCCUCAUGGGACAGUGACUCAAUUUGAAUUUUCCUGCAGUUGAUUGUAAAUGAGAUUACAAAAGGAAAUCGGUUAUUCCUAGUCCUCAGCCAAGCAGGGUACAAGUCGUUGGCAAGGAAAUGUGAGAAAAAAACAGGAAGAAAACAUGGCCUGAAACAGUUGAAGAACAAAUACAUGAGUUUGAAAAAAGAGUGGCAAGUGUGGACAAAGUUGAUGGAUUCAAGCAAAGGAGUGUCGGGGAUAGGGUUUGACAGUGACACUGGUAUGUUUCAGGCACCUGAGGAGUGGUGGGACAAGAUGGAAUUGGUAAGUACAUGUUUGUUGCGUUUCAUAUUUGUCGGUUACCAGUCAAUUUAACCUUUUUAGUAAACUGCAUUACUUGUUAUAUGAAAUGUAACGUCUUCCUCUUUCAUAAAUCUCCAAUUGUGCAAAUAAAUAAGGUGUGUGCCAAGUUCAGGAAAAAAACUUUGGAACAUCGUGACUUGAUGGAGAUGGUCUUUAUCGGGACAUCAGCUACUGGUAAACACCAUUGGGCCCCGUGAGAGAAACUUCCUAAAGCUACCGAGGACUCAUCUGAUUCUGUGAACAGUUUGGAAGCGCAGCCAUUUGCUAAUCCGAUACCUACAGGAGUACAUGACGUGGAUUCAGAUUCUUCACUGGAACUUGUUCUGACUGAAAAGUGAAAAAGGAGAAAGACGACAUCAACAAGUGUUUCAAAGUCGAAAAAGGCAACAAGUGGAGCAUCAGUUAUUGCAGAAAGCAUGAACAAUCUAACAAAUGUGGUUCAUACCCAGAAUCAACAGGUUACGGUGAGGCACCUCAUAGGUAACGAAUCACUGUACACAAUUUCGGAGUGCAUGCAUCGCCUGACGAAUAUUCCAUCCCUUAUUGGUACGCCGCUAUUUCAUUUCGCCUCGACACUUUUGGAUAACGCAGAUUACCGAGAGGUGAUAAUGUGCCAGCCUGAUGACGAUCACAUUAUAGGGUGGCUUACACAGAAGCAGCUCUAGUGUACUACGUCGGCGCCAUUUGCUAACCUGUUUGGGGCUCACCGGAUGUAAUGUAGCAGUGUAAUGCUGAAGAUGCCUGCCCUUCUCUUACGUUGGAAAACUUUUAUUUUAGUUAUUGUUGGAACUGUACUAAAACAUGAUGGUUGUGUGAGCAUGUUUUAAACUUUUUUCAAUUUUUUUUUUCUUGCUAGCUAUGGUCUUUUGUGAUUUGUAUGUUUGUGAUAGACGGAAUGGAAGUAUGGUUGUGUGUUUUUUUGGAAUGGAA